GCUGGAUUCGCUAGUAAUCGCGCAUCAGCCACGGCGCGGUGAAUACGUCCCCGGGCCUUGUACACACCGCCCGUCAAGCCAUGGAAGCCGGGAGUGCCUGAAGUACGCGACCGCAAGGAGCGUCCUAAGGUAAAACCGGUGACUGGGGCUAAGUCGUAACAAGGUAAC
rnacentral:rRNA from 1 species